rnacentral:lncRNA from 1 species
UAUGUAUCGCCCUCUGCUGGCCUUUACAUAUAUUACAAAUCAUUAAGGGUAUGGAUAUAAAAGACAGAAAUGCUGUUACUUUGAAGCAGCAGCUCUAGACUAUCAAACAAUCUGCAGAGGCCCUGAGCAGACAUGCAUCCAUACAUUUUAUUCAUAAGACAUAGAGCUUGCAUUCAGGAUUUUAUGUCCCACCUGGUCCUGGAACACUUCUCCAGCUCCAGAAAGUGUGUCCAGAGAAAAGGGAAGUCUGGGUUAACUCAUAUGGACUGCUGCCCCGGCAACCUGAUAAGUGAAUACAAAAAGUGGAUGGAUUCUCAACAAACACAAACUCAAUUACGUUUUUAAUGAAACCAUAAUAAAGACAUUUAAAAAACGCCAUUUAAAGCUAUGGGGAAUUUUCAGCUGCAGUUGAUCUUGAUGUCUAAUUGUGACCAACUACAGCAAACUAAACCAUCAGUAUAGCAAAAAGCCACUCCUAAAUGUCUGAAACCACCACAGAGGGUCAGUACUUGUUGUAAUGAGUAAUGUAUGAUCAAAGUUUAAUCCUGCAGAGGUAGGUUUUAGGAUACAUUGGCACUGACAUUGCUUAUUUUUUCCAAGGGUGUCAUAGAAAGUGACAGUCAAGCAGGACAUAUGUUUGGAAAUUAGAGGUUUGUCCACAGGGGGGCGCCUAAAUCAAUAUAAAAUCAAAUCUCCUCACUUGAGCUUUACUACAAUGUUUUAAUACUGGUACUCUCUGAGCCAUACAGGUCAAAAAUAAUUUUUAUCCCCCUUUUAAAUAAAUUUGGAACAAGAAUAUGUUAUCUAAACUCUUACUUUGUCCAAAUAGUUAUGUAAGUAAAGUAAGCUCAUCAAAGUGACACAAAACAUAUAGAAAUUUUUAAAAAAUCUAUAAGGAAUAUUAUAAAAUGCAUCAACCAACAAUAAAUAUUCAGCUGCUAUUUGAAGAUAAUAUUUGGAAUUAAUGCUCUCUAGGAUCAUAAGGUCUGGAAAACCUUUUUUUUUUUUUAAGCACAUUUUACACCAGACGAACUUGUCAUAGUACUUUACAGACUUGGACAUCAUCAAGUGAAACAGGUUAAAAGACAAUAAAAAUAUAAAAUAAUGAGUAAUAAAGUUAAAAUAUUACUUUUAAUAUUAUUCUGGUUGUAUAUACAUUUGAUUAAGUGUAACUGAAAUCUCAAGAUACAGUCAAGUCCCCACACUUUUUAAUCUCACUCCUGUAUCCGUUCUGUUUCCUAGUUCUUGAUCGUGGUCCAAGUCUCUGUCUGACUUGGAGCUCGGAGCCAGUGGAAAGACAAAGCCUUGAAAGGGGGUCUGGUCCCUCGACUCUCUGGGCUCUUUGUUCAAAGUGGGGCCAUGAUGUACUCGCUGUUUCAGAAAGAGCCCUUUUUAGCUAGGCCGUAAGGCGAUCCUGGGCCUUUCCUGGCCGGGGUGUGCCCUCGGCGUCUCUGGUUUACCUGCGGGACCUAGAAGGGUGGGGCUGGGGUGGGCUGGUUUUCCCUGAGCCAGGUAGGUGAAGUGGAGAGGAGGAGAGCAGCUGGUCAGUGAAGGAAGAGAGCGAUAGAGAGAGAGAGAGGGAGAGAGGAGGGGAGGGAUGGAGGGAUGGAUGUAAGGCGAGAACUCUGAGAAAAGAUAAAUAAACAAAGGUGGCGAUGAGGGUCUGAGCUGAAUUAAUUCUAUCAAGCUCUUUCUGUCUUUGGUGACGGUCUCCAGAGACAGCACCACUGAGAACAGUAGACAGGGGGUACAGUAUGAGACUACUACAGACGGCUUUGGAGUCAGGCUGCAACUGCAAGCACCUUUAGACAUGCUGCUCCUCGCUUUGUAUAAUUUCUUUUUGUUUAUUCAAGUUUAUUUUUUUAUGAUAAUAACUACAAACAAAAUAUGAAAUGAAAUAGAUGGGGAGAAGGAAUCACAACCUGUUCAAAAGUAAGGACAAGAAAGGUCCCAACUUUGAUUAAUUUAAUUGUAAAGUGCAGAAUGUCGACAUUGACAAAAAAGUGAAAGAAAAUCAGAUUUUGACAGAUAGCAGAUGGACCAGUUAUUUGCAAACAUGCAAACUAUGACCUGCUGGUGGUGCUGCGGGAAAAGUUAUGGGGUCAUCUGGGGGCAAUGGAAUGCGUCAGCUGAGCCAGAGCCUGCAGUUUCAGGACCCUUUUGUGCAUCAGUUACAUUAAAGGCACGGUAACAGAAAGCAUGUUUGAGUUGCACAAUCAAACACACAAUUAGAUCAUAAAAAUGUAGUUCUCUACUUCUAUUGGAUGGUGCUGUAGCAAACAACAAGGGCCUGAGGAGGUAAAGUCCUAAAUCUGCUGUCUCUGGGUCUGCAGACCCUGCUACCCCUGAGGACACCACGAUAAUAUGCAAUAAGAACUUUAUGUCAAAUGCCAUUCAAACUGGGAUUUAGAAGAUGCUCGCUGACAGAAAAACAACUGAUGCCUUCAUGGGUCAUUCCCAGUCCAUGAUUCAAAGUGUUUGCAGAUUCAUUUUUAAACUACUGGUUGCACAUAGAGCUGUUUUCUUAAUUUAAUGUGAAGAGUUUGUGUAAUGCAGUUUUGCAGAGUUUUUGAUGCACCUCUCAGAAAGCUGUGUAUCAGAGACAGCGCUGGGUGCUGAGGAGGAAGGAAGAAGGUGGAGAGUUUUGCUGUGGUCUGCAGUUUCUGGCUGAGUGAACAGAUGACACCAGGGUCAGUGGGCUGCUGUACAUCGUCUGCGGUAGUCUGCAUGAUUUAUUCUUAGUUUGAACAUUAUUGUCAGCUGUUAAAGGCACAGUGAAGAGUUUUUAACUGAUGUUGAAAUAGUAACACUGAUCCCUAUUCAUAAUCAACAUAGUAAAAUAAAAUCAUGAUUGGAUAUUUUCUUAUACUGAAAUUUAAUGCAUGUGUUGUUGACACCAUGGUUAUGAUCUGUAACAAUACUGUUCAGUUUAUAAUACUUUAAUCUAAUGUAGUUUCAACUCAAUGCAUCACCUUGUCAAUCUGCAUAUUGCAACAAAAGUAGUAUUGAAGAAGAGCUAUAUUACAUUCCUUUAUUCACACUACAAAUACACAUACUGGAAGGAGAUGCAUGUUAAUGACAGUGAGUAAAGGUGCUAUGAGACUUUAUUUUUCUUAUUCUUAUUUCUUUCCUUUGUGUUUUAUGUCAUCAGGAUCCCAAAAUAAAAGAAAGAAAAGAAAAACACAUUUAAAUUUAAAGUAAAUGUUCAAGGAUCUUGUGCCCCAAACCC